rnacentral:rRNA from 1 species
UUCCCCUAGUAACUGCGAGUGAAGCGGGAAAAGCUCAAAUUUGAAAUCUGGUGGCUUUGGUCAUCCGAGUUGUAAUUUAGAGAAGCGUCUUCCGCGCUGGACCGUGCACAAGUCUCCUGGAAUGGAGCGUCAUAGAGGGUGAGAAUCCCGUCUUUGGCACGGACGCACCAGGGCUUCUGUGAUGCGCUCUCGAAGAGUCGAGUUGUUUGGGAAUGCAGCUCAAAAUGGGUGGUGAACUCCAUCUAAAGCUAAAUAUUGGCGAGAGACCGAUAGCGAACAAGUACCGUGAGGGAAAGAUGAAAAGCACUUUGGAAAGAGAGUGAAACAGUACGUGAAAUUGUUGAAAGGGAAACGCUUGAAGUCAGUCGCGUCGACCGAGACUCAGCCUUGCCUUGGCUUGGUGUACUUCUCGGCUGACGGGUCAGCAUCAAUUUUGCCCCUCGGAUAAUGGUGAGGGAAAUGUGGCACCUUUGCGGGUGUGUUAUAGUCCUUUGUCGCAUGCGAGGGUUGGGAUUGAGGAACUCAGCACGCGCCUUUAUGGUGUCGGGGCUCUGCCCACGAUACGUGCUUAGGAUGUUGGCGUAAUGGCUUUAAACGACCCGUCUUGAAACACGGACCAAGGAGUCCAACACGCCCGCGAGUGUUCGGGUGGAAAACCCGUGCGCGCAAUGAAAGUGAAAGUUGGGACCUCCGUCGUGGAGGGCACCGACGCCCGGACCAGACCUUCUGUGACGGAUCUGCGGUGGAGCGUGUGUGUUGGGACCCGAAAGAUGGUGAACUAUGCCUGAAUAGGGUGAAGCCAGAGGAAACUCUGGUGGAGGCUCGUAGCGAUUCUGACGUGCAAAUCGAUCGUCAAAUUUGGGUAUAGGGGCGAAAGACU